UACGAAGGGGGCUAGCGUUACUCGGAUUGACUGGGCGUAAAGGGCGCGUAGGCGGCUUGUACAGUCAGACGUGAAAUUCCUGGGCUCAACCUGGGGGCUGCGUUUGAUACGUGCGGGCUUGAGUCCGGAAGAGGCGAGUGGAAUUCCCGGUGUAGCGGUGAAAUGCGCAGAUAUCGGGAGGAACAUCAGUGGCGAAAGCGACUUCCUGGACCAAUACUGACGCUCAUGUGCGAAAGCGUGGGGAGCAAACAGG
rnacentral:rRNA from 1 species